UACGGAAGGCAGCAGUGGGGAAUAUUGCACAAUGGGCGCAAGCCUGAUGCAGCCAUGCCGCGUGUAUGAAAAGGCCUUCGGUUGUAAGUACUUUCAGUCGUGAGGAAGGUGUUAAGGUUAAUAACCUUAGCAAUUGACGUUAAGCGACAGAAGAAGCACCGGCUAACUCCGUGCCAGCAGCCGCGGUAAUACGGAGGGUGCGAGCGUUAAUCGGAAUUACUGGGCGUAAAGGGCACGCAGGCGGUUAAUUAAGUUGGAUGUGAAAUCCCCGGGCUUAACCUGGGAAUGGCAUUCAAGACUGGUUAGCUAGAGUCUUGUAGAGGGGGGUAGAAUUCCAUGUGUAGCGGUGAAAUGCGUAGAGAUGUGGAGGAAUACCGGUGGCGAAGGCGGCCCCCUGGACAAAGACUGACGCUCAUGUGCGAAAGCGUGGGGAGCAAACAGGGAUUAGAUACC
rnacentral:rRNA from 1 species